rnacentral:siRNA from 1 species
UAACUUCCGAUGUGGAACAUU